UCUUUCCCGAGCACGCAACCUCUCCUCCCCUCUCCAGAAAAAUACUAUCCUUCGACCUGGAUCGGCUCACGCGACCGUCGGGCCAUGUCGCCACCGACGCUGACGCCUGCCAACGGCGGCAGGCUGGAUCUGGACGGCGUGCUCGUAGCGCUGCUCACCAUCUGCGUGAUCUGGGCCGACGGGUUCAUCUCCUCCUACCUCUGUGAGAAGCUCAUGGCCGAGACCCCGCACUCUGUCCUCGCUGUCGACCUCCUCGUCGACCCACCCCCGCCCCACCUCGCCGACUACAUCUCCUUCCACUGCCUCAACAUCAUGAACAACACCCGCCUGGAGGGCCUCAUCAAGACGUCCGAUCUGGUUGGGUGAAGGUGUUGGUAGUACAAGGAAAGAAGUACGGCAUCAGGCUGCAGAAAUAUCUUUAAGAAAUUUGGCAAGUUCCUGUUUAGGGAGAAAAGAAAAUCCUGUUAUCCUCGUCCAGAGAUAGACCAUUUGGCACCAAUGAAUCAGCUGUUGAGUACAAAUAAUGUGGGAAGUUCUUCUUUGGCAAUCACGAUGUGUUCGUACAUAUGUUUGAAAGGAUCGUGUUGAUAGUGUUGCUACUUGCUACCAAUGCUUUUGUUGAGGAGGCUGCAGAUCUGUUGUGUUUGCUGCUGGGUCCUGGUUGCCCUGGAGUGUUAAAUUCAGAACGUAAGUGAAUGAUCACUGUACCGCAGCCACCCGGCUUGGCACAAGAUAGGAAAAGUGGUUUGGUGUACAAGGAGACUACAACUUUUUUGUUAAGGACUGCUGGGGCCAAGUCUGGUGGAUCUGUUUAAUUUUUGCAGCAGGGCAGUUCCGUGCUCCUUUUAUUGCCCAAAUGCAGUACAUAGGGCAGGAGGGGCAGGGCGGAGGUUCGACCUCCUGCACCUUCCAUCCCAGGCCUAUCUUUGUCAUUCUCGGCGGCCGGCCGAGCUCUGCGCUCCGGAACAACCAAAACAUGCUUGAGAUCUCAGUAAAAAAGGAUUUUUUUUACUGUGUUUACUCUA